UUUGUAAACCAUGGUCACUAAACCUUCAAGUUUCAUAAUUCAAAUGCCAAUUUCAUUUUCAUUUAACCAUAACAUUCCUUUUCAAAUACAUUCAAGUUUUUUCAUAAACCAAAUUCCAUUACAAUUUCAAACCAGCCAUUUACAUUUCAAUACAAUUUCAAAAUCCAAUCUAAAACUACAUUCAAAUUUAAAACUAUGACAUACCAUAUUCAAUACACUUCCAUUUUUAUAAACCAAAUGACCAACCUAAUAGCUUAUAAUCUAAUGCUUCUUCCUAAACCAGCUCCAUUUCUAUAUGCAAGCAAAAACUCUUCAAGUCAUUCCAAACACAAGCAAAUUCCAACCUACAAGCCAAUUCCAUCACAAGUUCGCAGGCUUGGCCAAUUUCCAGUUAAUCCCUGCAUAAAAUCCAUAAUCCAAUGAACAAGUUAACAAGACAAGAUAAUCUCAAGCAGUUCAUUUUAAACUUCAUAACAGGCCCAACCAAUUAAUAUACCAUACCAUUCACUUUUCAAAAUUCAAUUCUAACCUGCAUAAUUCAGUAACUCACGAUUGACAUGACUAACAAACCUACACUCCAAUUAACAACCACAUUUGCAAUUUCGAAUUCUACUGUAAACAUUCCAAAAUCACCACAGAGAAUCAAAAUUCACUAACUGAAUUUGGAUGCAACAACUAACUCUAACAAUAUUUCUCAUUUGCAACAACUAACUUUGAAUUUCAUGUGAGUUUGGAUGAAAUUUGGCUUGCAUCUCAUAACUGAAUUGGAAUGCUAUAAAUCAAAUACAUUAUCCUCUCAAUUUUACUUUUUCAGCAUUUCAAUCACACGCAUCAAUUCCCUUCACGCAUUCUAUCAGAACAGAGUAAAAAAUCAUUCUUUAACCAUUCUUCACACAACGAAUGAAAAUCACAUAUCUAAAUCAAUUUUCAUUCUUCAUUCUCAGCACCUCACGUAAACUCUCAUAACCUCACGCAAUCCUCUCAGUUUAUCAACAAUUCCCACAAUGGUUUUGAUUUGAUCAAUCAAUAACAACACACACGAUAGCUGACAGAGGAAGAAGAAGAGAAAGCAAUUGAAACAGAGGAAGGAUAAUUCAUUACUUAUUUGCAUCAAAGCCCGAUUCGGUGAAUUCUCGCUUCGAUUUUUAUUUUGUUCUUUUCGGUUCUGCAUGCACAGUGAUGAAUUGAAGGGAUGUUGAUGUCGAUUUCGGAGAUUGAAUUGAUGAUCAGAGCCAUAUUCUUCAAAUUGUUUCACUGCAAAUUCGUUCUUGAGGAUGGAAAGUGUGAAAUCGAAAGAGUGAAUAUUAGAUGUGUUGUUGUGUUGAGACUUAAGUUCUUGAACUUGGCUUCAAACCUGAGCACUUUGGAUUCAUUGUUUCCCAUUGGCGCUUUGGACUCAGUUUCAUUAGGUGCCAUUUGCAACCCGGUUCGUUUUGGGCUCAGGCCCAAACGAAUUUUUUAUGGAACACUCCCACAUACUUUACACCCCUGCUCAAUAUUAACCCUUUAA
rnacentral:lncRNA from 1 species